AAAGAUAGUUACAGUGAUGUUUCCAUGGACUACAUUAAUAAAUAAACAUUAUAUAUUAAUAUAUACAGAAUUCAUGUGCACACGUGUGUGUGUAUGUCUGUGUGUGUAUGUGUGUGUGUAUAGGUGUGUAUGUGUGUGUAUAUGUGUAUAGGUGAGACUGUAUGUGUGUGUGUGUGUAUAGGUGUGUCUGUAUGUCUGUAUAUGUGUAUAAGUCUGUCUGUAUGUCUGUGUGUGUAUGUGUGUGUGUCUAUGUGCAAAGGUGUGACUGUAUGUGUGUGUGUGUGUUUGUAUGUGUAUAGGUGUCUUCAAGUGUGUGUAUGUGUGCAUAUGUGUGUGUGUAUAGGUGUGACUGUAUGUGUGUGUGUGUGUAUAUGUGUAUAGGUGUGACUGUAUGUGUGUGUGUCUGUAUGUGUAUAAGUGUCUUUAAGUGUGUGUAUGUGUGCAUAUGUGUGUGUAUGGGGUGUGUGCAUGUGUGUGUGUGCGUAUGUGUGUGUAUGUGUAUAGGUGUCUUUAAGUGUGUGUAUGUGUGCAUAUCUGUGUGUGUGUGUGUGUGUAUAUGUGUGUAUAUGUGUGCAUAUGUCUCUCUGUCUGUCUGUCUGUCUGUCUGUCUGUCUGUCUCCCGUUAUUUAAACCUGUUCACGU
ensembl:lncRNA